UGAGAACUUCGUGGCCGUCAACAUUUAUCGCAACAAAAGUCAGGUUUUACUUGCUGAUUACGACGGACAGACCAAAUUCAGAUACAUUUGCGAGAAAAGAGGCAAUCCUCAGUCUAAGAAUGACAAGCAAGCGAUAAUCGACGAAUGUUCCAUCAUUUACGGCGUCACGCAAUCCCAAAUUGACUUGCUGUAUAAUCAGAC